rnacentral:rRNA from 1 species
CUUGGUGUUACUGCGAAGGGGGGACGGAGAAGGCUAUGUUGGCCGGGCGACGGUUGUCCCGGUUUAAGCGUGUAGGCUGGUUUUCCAGGCAAAUCCGGAAAAUCAAGGCUGAGGCGUGAUGACGAGGCACUACGGUGCUGAAGCAACAAAUGCCCUGCUUCCAGGAAAAGCCUCUAAGCAUCAGGUAACAUCAAAUCGUACCCCAAACCGACACAGGUGGUCAGGUAGAGAAUACCAAGGCGCUUGAGAGAACUCGGGUGAAGGAACUAGGCAAAAUGGUGCCGUAACUUCGGGAGAA